GACGAACGCUGGCGGCGUGCUUAACACAUGCAAGUGGAGCGACGAACCAGGGCUUGCCCUGGGGCAGAGCCGCGAACGGGUGAGUAACACGUGGGUAACGUGCCCCAAUGAUCGGGACAACCCGGGGAAACCCGGGCUAAUACCGAAUGUGCUCCCCUCACACCAGUGAGGGGUGGAAAGGAAGCUUCGGCCUCCGCAUUGGGAUCGGCCCGCGGCCCAUUAGCUUGUUGGGGGGGUAACGGCUCACCAAGGCUGCGAUGGGUAGCUGGUCUGAGAGGACGAUCAGCCACACUGGGACUGAGACACGGCCCAGACGCCUACGGGAGGCAGCAGUGGGGAAUCUUGCGCAAUGCGCGAAAGCGUGACGCAGCAACGCCGCGUGGGGGAAGAAGGCCUUCGGGUUGUAAACCCCUUUCAGGAGGGACGAAGCCUCGGCCGUUAAUAGCGGACCGAGGUGACGGUACCUCCAGAAGAAGCCCCGGCUAACUACGUGCCAGCCGCCGCCGUAACAC
rnacentral:rRNA from 1 species